UCCCAGUAAAGAAACAUUUACAUGACUUCCCUUCUAUCCUGGUCUCAGGUCCUAUAAAGGUGAACCCACUGGAGCUGGCUGGGGGAGAAAAGAAAAGUUUAUUACAAAAGGAACUGUCUGAGGAAU
ensembl:snoRNA SNORD22 Small nucleolar RNA SNORD22